rnacentral:rRNA from 1 species
GUAGUCUGCAACCCGACUACAUGAAGCCGGAAUCGCUAGUAAUCGCGGAUCAGAAUGCCGCGGUGAAUACGUUCCCGGGUCUUGUACACACCGCCCGUCACACCAUGGGAGUCGGAAAUGCCCGAAGUCUGUGACCCAACCGUAAGGAGGGAGCAGCCGAAGGCAGGUCGGAUGACUGGGGUGAAGUCGUAACAAGGUACC